ACGGGAGGCAGUAGUGGGGAAUAUUGGACAAUGGGGGAAACCCUGAUCCAGCGACGCCGCGUGAGUGAAGAAGGAUUUCGGUAUGUAAAGCUCUAUCAGCAAGGAAGAAAAUGACGGUACUUGACUAAGAAGCUCCGGCUAAAUACGUGCAAGCAGCCGCGGUAAUACGUCUGGAGCAAGCGUUAUCCGGAUUUACUGGGUGUAAAGGGAGCGUAGACGGCGAAGCAAGUCUGAAGUGAAAUGCCGGGGCUUAACCCCGGAACUGCUUUGGAAACUGUUUUGCUAGAGUGCAGGAGAGGAAAGCGGAAUUCCUAGUGUAGCGGUGAAAUGCGUAGAUAUUAGGAGGAACACCAGUGGCGAAGGCGGCUUACUGGACUGUAACUGACGUUGAGGCUCGAAAGCGUGGGGAGCAAACAGGAUUAGAUACCCUGGUA
rnacentral:rRNA from 1 species